rnacentral:rRNA from 1 species
GUGGAUUAGAUACCCGGGUAGUCCACGCUGUAAACGAUGAGUGCUAGAUGUUGGAAGGAAACUUUCAGUGUCGCAGCUAACGCAUUAAGCACUCCGCCUGGGGAGUACGGUCGCAAGAUUAAAACUCAAAGGAAUUGACGGGGGCCCGCACAAGCGGUGGAGCAUGUGGUUUAAUUCGACGCAACGCGAAAAACCUUACCAGCCCUUGACAUGGGGAUUCUGGGUUUCAGAGAUGAAACCCUUCAGUUCGGCUGGAUCCCACACAGGUGCUGCACGGCCGUCGUCAACU